AGAGUUUGAUCAUGGCUCAGAUUGAACGCUGGCGGCAGGCCUAACACAUGCAAGUCGAACGGUAGCACAGAGAGCUUGCUCUCGGGUGACGAGUGGCGGACGGGUGAGUAAUGUCUGGGAAACUGCCUGAUGGAGGGGGAUAACUACUGGAAACGGUAGCUAAUACCGCAUAACGUCGCAAGACCAAAGAGGGGGACCUUCGGGCCUCUUGCCAUCAGAUGUGCCCAGAUGGGAUUAGCUAGUAGGUGGGGUAACGGCUCACCUAGGCGACGAUCCCUAGCUGGUCUGAGAGGAUGACCAGCCACACUGGAACUGAGACACGGUCCAGACUCCUACGGGAGGCAGCAGUGGGGAAUAUUGCACAAUGGGCGCAAGCCUGAUGCAGCCAUGCCGCGUGUAUGAAGAAGGCCUUCGGGUUGUAAAGUACUUUCAGCGGGGAGGAAGGUGUUGUGGUUAAUAACCACAGCAAUUGACGUUACCCGCAGAAGAAGCACCGGCUAACUCCGUGCCAGCAGCCGCGGUAAUACGGAGGGUGCAAGCGUUAAUCGGAAUUACUGGGCGUAAAGCGCACGCAGGCGGUCUGUCAAGUCGGAUGUGAAAUCCCCGGGCUCAACCUGGGAACUGCAUUCGAAACUGGCAGGCUAGAGUCUUGUAGAGGGGGGUAGAAUUCCAGGUGUAGCGGUGAAAUGCGUAGAGAUCUGGAGGAAUACCGGUGGCGAAGGCGGCCCCCUGGACAAAGACUGACGCUCAGGUGCGAAAGCGUGGGGAGCAAACAGGAUUAGAUACCCUGGUAGUCCACGCCGUAAACGAUGUCGACUUGGAGGUUGUGCCCUUGAGGCGUGGCUUCCGGAGCUAACGCGUUAAGUCGACCGCCUGGGGAGUACGGCCGCAAGGUUAAAACUCAAAUGAAUUGACGGGGGCCCGCACAAGCGGUGGAGCAUGUGGUUUAAUUCGAUGCAACGCGAAGAACCUUACCUACUCUUGACAUCCAGAGAACUUUCCAGAGAUGGAUUGGUGCCUUCGGGAACUCUGAGACAGGUGCUGCAUGGCUGUCGUCAGCUCGUGUUGUGAAAUGUUGGGUUAAGUCCCGCAACGAGCGCAACCCUUAUCCUUUGUUGCCAGCGGUCCGGCCGGGAACUCAAAGGAGACUGCCAGUGAUAAACUGGAGGAAGGUGGGGAUGACGUCAAGUCAUCAUGGCCCUUACGAGUAGGGCUACACACGUGCUACAAUGGCGCAUACAAAGAGAAGCGACCUCGCGAGAGCAAGCGGACCUCAUAAAGUGCGUCGUAGUCCGGAUUGGAGUCUGCAACUCGACUCCAUGAAGUCGGAAUCGCUAGUAAUCGUAGAUCAGAACGCUACGGUGAAUACGUUCCCGGGCCUUGUACACACCGCCCGUCACACCAUGGGAGUGGGUUGCAAAAGAAGUAGGUAGCUUAACCUUCGGGAGGGCGCUUACCACUUUGUGAUUCAUGACUGGGGUGAAGUCGUAACAAGGUAACCGUAGGGGAACCUGCGGUUGGAUCACCU
rnacentral:rRNA from 1 species